GGGUAACACCGUCCUCCCUGUUAGACCCUCAAAGCUUCAAACUGGAGAAAAGUCCUAGAAAAACUGUUCCUUUCUCCUUACGAUGUUUUUUAAGGGAAAACACAUCUUUUUGCAGGCCUGCAACAGCCGGGGGAGACUUUUACACUGAAUAAAACCUCCCUGCUGUGAUUGAGACAGGAAGGCACAAACCCAGGUGAAGACCCUCCCCAGUUCUCAUCUUCUUUAUUGAAGGCCCUCCAAUCAUGUUGUUUGCCCAUCUGUGAACCUCUUUCUUUACUGAGAAAAUAGGGGGGUGGAGAAAUAGCAGAUAAACCAAGUGAAGGAAGAAAAGCUUCAGAGAAUAUAUUCAAAAUGACACGAAGGAACAGAAAAUUUUCUUCAGAAGAAUAAGGUGAAGCUCUGUCCCAGUUGUGGAGAAUGUGGACAUUUUUUUGCUUGUUAUCAACAGUAUGCAUGACUCAGUUUACCCACACUUUGUAUUGUUAACCAUUGGCUAUGAAGGAGUUAAUGUCCUUCCCUGGGUAGUAAGAGGUGGGCGUGUGUGUGUCACAUGCCCGUGUGGCUUGACCCAAAUGCACCAUCACGAACUGAAUGGCCUGGACACACAUGAAUGAAGCACCUGGUGAGCUAGUGGAAGACCUGAGGAUGGAACAUUGACUCAACGGUGGGCAGCCAGGAAGAUGUGGAACACAGCAGGGCUGCAAGGGAGAUGAAGACGCAGGAGGUGUCCAGUGGCUGGGUUAAGGACUGGGCUCCAGACUCACAGAAUCAGAGAGCGACUAGGAUGGACUCCAGAAAACCAUGGACAAAUGGGGGCAGUUGCUUCUGCCAAUAUUAGACUCAGUCCUAGGCUUGACUUUUCCAUGCCAACUUAAGGGCUCUCAGGUACUGCAGUCGACUACCAACCGCUGGCUUGCCUAGGAGAGGCUGCCCUGUGUCUCUGCAGAUACUUAGUGGCUCCAUUGCUCCCUGAAGGGGUAAAACUCCAACAGGAGUCUGAACUGCUCUGGACUCAGUGGACAGGGCGUGAUGAGAUCCAGGGGGUGCUGGAGCCUGAAGGCUCAGUCUUGGAGAACCCGAGCUUCAGGACUGGCCCUUGUGAAAAACUAAGCUGAGGGCUUGGCCAGUCAUUGGGGUAUCCAAGGAGCCCGU